CCUCCUUUGCUCCUCCUUUUUUCCUCUUCCUCCCUUUUCUCCCGCCUGCCGGCGCCAUGCCGCGUGAACGAAGAAGGUCUUCGGAUUGUAAAGUUCUGUCCUUAUCGAAGAGAGAGUAUAGAGUGAAAAAUGAUAUACUAGGACGGUAGAUGAGGAGGAAGCCCCGGCUAACUACGUGCCAGCAGCCGCGGUAAUACGUAGGGGGCGAGCGUUGUCCGGAAUCACUGGGCGUAAAGGGCGCGUAGGCGGUAAUAUAAGUCAGAUGUGAAAGGUGGGGGCUCAACCCCUAGAGUGCAACUGAUACUGUAUAACUUGAGUGUGAGAGAGGGAAGCGGAAGUCCUAGUGUAGCGGUGAAAUGCGUAGAUAUUAGGAGGAACACCAGUGGCGAAGGCGGCUUUCUGGCUCAUAACUGACGCUGAGGCGCGAAAGCGUGGGGAGCAAACAGGAUUAGAUACCCCUGUAGUC
rnacentral:rRNA from 1 species